rnacentral:rRNA from 1 species
UACGAAGGGGGCUAGCGUUGCUCGGAAUGACUGGGCGUAAAGGGCGCGUAGGCGGAUGGCACAGUCAGAUGUGAAAUUCCCGGGCUUAACCUGGGGGCUGCAUUUGAUACGUGUUGUCUUGAGUUCGGAAGAGGGUCGUGGAAUUCCCAGUGUAGAGGUGAAAUUCGUAGAUAUUGGGAAGAACACCGGUGGCGAAGGCGGUG